UCACCAUGUUCACUGUUAUAUUCACGUGUCUUUGGCUUUCACUAGGUGACUCCAUGGCAGAUUCAGUAGGGCCACGUUUCACUCAUAAAGUUGUAGAUGAAGAUGAUGAUGUUACUCUGUCCUGCAGCUACAAAACAACCAGUCCUACAGGAAACUACCUGCACUGGUACAGGCAGUAUCCAAAAUCUACACCUGAGUUCCUUCUUUAUAUUUCUGAUGGUGGAGCGUUAAGUUCCAACAUUCCCACAAGAAUGACUGCUAAAGUUAAUCGAGAUAAUAAAGAAGUGGAUCUACUCAUCUCCUCUGCUGCUGUAUCAGACUCUGCACUAUACUACUGUGCACUGGUGCCCACAGUGACAGGAAAUCCAACUGCACUGUACAAAAACUUUGACACAGUUUUGAUAUAUGGAAAGCAGUUCUUUGAGACAUUUACAUGCCAAUUCUGGGGAAUUUUUGUCUUGAGUUUAUAUUUUUGAGACAUAUUAGAAUUAUUAUGAGACAGCUCAUUCAUUUAUUCAUCUUCAGUAACCACUUUUCCUGGUCAGCAAUCCAGCGCUUUUCCUGAGAACACUGGGAGUGCAGGAGGAAUGUGAGAAAACCAAAAAAGAGAGCAUGCAAAAUAUUGCACAGACAGUAACCUGAGCUCACUGGUACCUGAAAGUAGAAACUGGGCCAGAAAAUCCUAACAUUGACUACGUUUACAUGGACAGCAUUAAUCUAAUUAUUGAUCUUACUCUGCUUAAGAUAAUAAUGUGAUUAAGGUGUCUACAUGAGUCGCUUUUAGCGCCACGCCGUCGGACGUCCUUCCAGAAUUUCACGUAUCGAUAUACAGUUCGUCUUCAUUAUGGUACCGUAUACAGUUUUUGUGUUUUUAUUUAUUUUUUUUUACGAACGCUUUAAGUGCAGUUAAUUAUUUGUCAUGCUAUACGUGCUAAUAGACAACUGCUUGAAGCCGUGGGUGUGUCCCAAAUCGCAUGGUUACUGUUUAUAUAGCAGCCAAGAUACAUGUAUUUUCUCCACUACAGGCCUAUAGUAGGAAAGUAUUCAAUCUGGGACGCGGCCGAACUCUCUUGUUCGCCGUCAAACGUAAAACUGCCGUGUGUAAUCGUGUCCUGUCGCAAAAUGCAGUGAAAACUCCCACACAACGUUCAUAAUGUGAUUAAGGUGUUUACAUGUCUGUAAUACUGGAUUGUUGUUGUCCAUGUAAAUGCAGCUAUUGUCUCAAAUCAAGUUGUAGAAACAUCUCAAGGAUGAUCAGUGGAAACAGGAUGCACCUGAGCUCAAUAUUCAGUGUCAUGGCAAAGUCUGUGAAUACUUAUGUA